rnacentral:rRNA from 1 species
AUGGCGAGGACGGUGGUGGUGGCCUUGCUGCUGAUGCAAUUCUGCGACGUGGUUCUGGCGGCGAGGCUGCUGGAGGGGGACGGCGCCUGGCUGCAGGGCGGCGUUGGCGCCGCUGGGGCGCUUAUCAUGCACAUCCUGCCCGGCGGCUCUCCGGGAGCGGGAGCACCCAACGGCUGCACCAACAACCCCAAACACCCCGCCGGUGGGAAAUGCCACGGCUAA